GUCUUGGAGGUUGAUUACUGCCUCAAAUAGGGACUGGUAGCAGCCAGGGACUACAGUUAGGUAUUGGAGGUUGGUUACUGCCUCAAAUAGGGACUUAGCAGCCAGGGACUACAGUUAGGUCUUGGAGGUUAAUUACUGCCUCAAAUAGGGACUGGUAGCAGCCAGGGACUACAGUUAGGUCUUGGAGGUUGAUUACUGUCUCAAAUAGGGACUGGUAGCAGCCAGGGACUACAGUUAGGUCUUGGAGGUUGGUUACUGCCUCAAAUAGGGACUUAGCAGCCAGGGACUACAGUUAGGUCUUGGAG